GAAAUCUCUUCUUCACUUUUGCUUCUGCUCUUUCAUCACUCUCCCUCUCUCUCACCUUUUUUGCUUCAGUUCUCUGUAGGAGUUUGUUUCUUAUAUCCAUGUCAGCUUCUCUAUCUGUUCUUACUCGUUUCUGGGGCUUAGGAGGACUCUCCUUUUUGCUCUUCUUUAAUCUCUCUCUCCAAAUACCCUUGAGAAAAUGGAGGAAUAUGCCAAAGCAUUUGCUAUAUUUGCUAACUGCGGUACUACUAGCCUAGGUUUUUCUAUUUGUGAAAAACAAUUCCAGUUAAGCUAAUCCUUGUUCUUUUGCAGUCUAUUCCAGCUUUGACACACAUAUAUAUAACUUUACCUUAUAUAAAAAGUUCUUGUUCUUGUGCAAGAAGUUCACCUUGCUAACUUUACUAUAAUAAAUUAUAAUUCCUCAAAAGUCAAGUAACUAAACUUAGAGCUAUAAUGUACGUCUUUUUUUUUUUUUUUUUGGCACUUCCAGAGAACCGCAGGGAGCAGAUUGUUAUGUUCCCUUUACUUGAUUUACAAGAUGGGAUUUCUUCUUCUAUAUGUUUUUUUUUUUUUGGGUAUUUUUGUCUACGUGGUAAUACGAAGUGUCUUUAAUUCCCAGUUCUUUCACUUUCUCUCCCUUUGGUUUUUUUUAAUGAUGUGAUUAUUUGUAGUAAUCAUUGAAGUGGAUUAUGCACCCAAGAUGUUUGAUGAUAUAUGCCUGACUCCUCUUAUUUGCAGUAAUGAAGUCCACAGGUUUUGUUUUAGGUUUGCCGUGAACUCGCACGAAGGGCAGUGAUCUAGCUAUAAGAGAAAGUCAUAAUGAUCUUGAGGCUUGGUUGAAUUAGACUUGGAGGAAACAUUUGAGUAUUUUGCUGAAGUAGUUUGUAUGGAACGAGAAUGCUAAUUGAAAGGAGUUGAAACUAAUAAACUUUUCGUGUUAUGUGAUAGCUGGUAAACUGAUCAGCUACCUCCUGUGUGUUUACUUUACAAAAAGAAUAGGCGGGCAGUGUAUUUUUGAGGUUUAUGAUGCUGGAGAUAGGUGGGGUAUAGGAUGGUUGGAUCAGGGAACAUAUUUUCUUUUGUUAAAAUGAUUUCUAAUGGGAAAAAAAUAUUUUAAGAUGUGUUUGGAUGAGUUCUGGCCAACCUCUACUAUCCUUUCUCAUUUUCCUAUCUAUCUUUUCUCUGGUAUUCUACUUUGUUCGUUUGUAUUGUUUAACUAUCCUCCGGGUUUUCUGUGUAUGUAAUGCAGCUAUAGAUACGCUCUCCAAAAUUCACAUGCAUCUUGAUCGGCGAGAUAAAAUUGAAAAUGGAGGAAGAGAAUAUUUCUCAGUCCUGCUAAAUUUUCAAAUAUUCUAUCUUGGUGAGGAUAUAAACCAUUGGCUCUAUUAUUUUUGCAUUUAUGCUUUAUUUUUCUUUUUAAUUCACUGUAUAAGCAGUUUUUUCGUUGACAAGUAUAUGAUUUUUUCCCUUUUUAAUUUUUAUGGGUAGAUUCUAAUUCAAGUAUAUGCGUGUUGUUUUUACUGUUUGAACGCUUCUACACUAGCCACAUCAGUUGCCAUCUUGGCAAAAAGAUCUAAUUAAAAGGGAAGAACUUUGUGCAGUUAAGGACGAUAUGCCUAACCCCAUAGGUGACUUUAACAUAAUAUCUUUCCUUUUGCAAGGCCAUAACUUUUGAUACAUAAAAAUAGGUUAUUUGAAAGAUGUUAUGCAGCGUAUUCUUUAUUGGGAAUCUAUUUGCAAAUUCAUUUGUAUCUAAAAGAAUGAAGUUUUUCUUGAAGAAAAUGAUUAUGGAUAAUUCUUUCAUAGUGUCCUACAUUUUGAUUGUGCUACAAUUAGUAAUGUUGCUUUGUCAAGAAUUCAUCAUUAGCUGAAAGUUCGUCCUAUCUCUUUGUCUGGUGAAUCUAUUUAAACAGUAGGGUAUACAUGAUUAAUUUCAUUGAUUUUUCUGCUUUUAUUUGAUAUCUAGCUCAGUAAAAAUGUGCAUCCGGACGAUCCUUCUAAUAUGUUUGUGAACUUAAUGGUGAUCAAAUGUAGUACUUUGAUAUUUGAACUCCUUGCUAGCCUCUCUAUUUUCAUUGUAUAAAUGAAAUUUGGUUUUUCUGUUUUCGUAUUUUCCUAGAGAUAUGUGACUUCUAAAACUAGGUUGCUUUAUUAUUCGUUAAUUCAUGAGAUGGAUUCAUUGACUCCCCUGCGUUGUUUAUGCGGCACCAAGGUCAUAGUAUGUUGACUAUGUUCUAUUGUCGCUCAGAGGCAUGUUCAUAUGAAGAGUAUAUAAAAGGAGUGGAAAGUUCCUACUGGUUCGGGGCAUAUUGGUAUAUUAUUCAUGAGGAAAUGACUGCAAGAAGACAACAACAUAACACGAGAGAACUUUGUCAUAAAGUAAAAGGAGUGGGAGGUUCCUACUGGUUCGGGGCACAUUGGCAUAUUAUUCAUGAGGAAAUGGCUGCAAGAAGACAACAACGUAACAUGAGAGAACUUUGAUGUUUAGUUUUUCUAUACUCCAGCAAUUUGAAAGGUGACUUUCCGUUGUAAAUUGAGCCAUGAAAUGAUGAAGUGCCCUCUGCUGAUAGUAUACACUGUCAGUAAUCAAGACGGGAACAACAUUACUGACAACCCAAUCUUGGACUAUAUCAUGAAGUCUCUUGGUCCAGAUUGUUUCUCUGCCUCUUCAAUGAGAAGAUCAGUUGGCGUUACUAUAGGAAUGCGCCACACCUUAAUUAAGUUUAACUGAAAAUGUGAGACCUGGUCUACCAUCUGAAGUAAGUGCUUC